GGGUGUUGGCGCGUGUGUUUCACACUCGCCUCCCUGGCGUUCGCGAGCUGACCCGAGGAGUGGUAAUCUCACGCGGCAAAGCAGGGAGGAAGAAAAAAAGGAGACAAAAGAAAAAAAGACUUUUAUCUGGGCAGAAAGUCACAAUGCCUAGCGGCCAAACGUUUGUGAGCGGUGAAGUUGGUUGACUGCUCAAGUUUGCAGAGCUUCAGCAAUUGCAUCACUAAAGAGAGCAAGCACACAGAUUUG
rnacentral:lncRNA from 1 species